rnacentral:lncRNA from 1 species
ACAGAUUGUGAACGGAUUUUAUUAUUAUCAAUAUUCUUUUUUUUAAUUGCUUACAAAAGAGCCAUAAUUGUAAUUUUUCUCUGAAUUUAAAACAUUCUCAAAUAGUGUAACUUCAAAAUCCAGAAGAAAGCAGCCUAACCACUUCAACAGCUGUUUAAGAAUUGCAAUCUCUAACCACCCCUUUCCCUUCUACCCAAGUUGUUAAAUAAGCAUUGAAAUUAUAGGUAGUUAAAAUUUUUGAAAUGUUACUUUUCUAUUGUUUGGAAAUGACAGAAGUCCUAGUAAUCAUAAUUAGUGAUCAAUAUAUCCCACCAGUAAAUAUGUAUACAUAUAUGUAGAAAUUCAAAAUUAAGAUACUGCAAGGUAUAGAAAACAUACCUUAAUUUCUAAUUCCCUUAUGAUAAAAUGGAAAGCUGGCAAUAAUUUAAGUGAUCAAUACUCUUAAUUUGCCUUUGGGUUUAGUUCCAAAUAUGUCAUUGGAAGCUCAUAAAAGAUCAACAUCAAAAGCAUACCAUAAAAAUUGUACUUUUAGUGUUUGAGAGUUGGGUGACACUUCACACACUUGAUAACUUUAACUGCUAAUGAAACAGAACCCCAAAAAGGCACUAUAUUACAGUUACACAGUCUUCCUAUUCAAGAUCUA